ACUAUGAAUACAAAGAAAAACAAAAGAGUUUGAUUAGUCUGCAGAAACAGGAAAUAUGUGUGCCUGUGGUGUGUCUGUGACAGGAAAUCGUGUGUGAUAGGAAUUACAUGCCCAUAAAAGGAGCUGACUGUGUCAAGACAGCUCACAGAGAGAAACAGACGAGUUAAACUCUAAGAAGAUGAAGCGAAUGAAUGUUUUAAGAAAAGUAAUGAAAAUGAUAUUAAUUGUAUGCUUUAGUGUGUCAAUACAGGUGGAUUUCUCUCAACCUGGAACCUUGAGUACAGCGGCAAAAGCAUAGAUUAAUUGGGAAAACAGGCCACUUUUUGGCUAAAAUUUUAUAGCUUGACCUCCCACUUUGUCCUCGACCCUGAGAAGAAGCUCAAAGGACAGUCAAUCUCAUGAUGAAGACCGACAGAACAUCGUGGACUUGAAGAAUUAACAGCAGGCAAAAGACAGAGCAAAGGAAACAAGACUGACUGACAACUGCAGCAGCAGCAUGACAGGCACGUGAUGCAACAUGCACAGUGGCUGGUAAAGAACAGUGUCACAUGACUGUUCGAAGGCACUGAACAUGAUAUUUUGCCGGGCUGGAACCUAACUUAAAAGAAGAAUACUGAAAGAUCAAAACAGAGAAGAGACAGACUGUGUUUGUUGGAGCUUUGAAGGCCACACAGGGACACUGUGAAAAAAAAGGGACGAGGACUGAUGGGAGGUGAAGCAGGACAAGUUCGAGUGCGAGAAUACAGGAUAUAAUUGGAUUGAAAUUGAAGGCUGAACUCAUGAUUGUUUCGAGAUGUCCACCAUGUCACAAACAAAAGAAGGUGGUAACUGGCGUCUCACUACUGGCAACGGCUCUGCUCAUCACACUAUCCACCCAGGAAGAAGGAAGACAACAAUACACGAGCCGAGAAAAGAGAUGGACUAUGCCUGGUACAGAUACGUGUUUAACAGAACUGCAGAGAAAGACUGUUAUGUUUGCUCGCACAUGCUGAGCGUAUUAACACAACCAUAUAUGGGAAACACCCUGAGAAUGACUUUUGUAAAGUGCACAACAACAUCAACAUCCUCAUCCAGGAAGAAGCGCUCAACUUUAACAAGUUUUAAAGAGACUGUUGAUUGUCGUUGGACUUUUCCUGAUUUUAUUUUUCUUUAUUUGAAUUAUUCCUUGUUUAAAGCUGUAAUUUCACAGAUGAUAAGUUUGUCACUCACAGCAUACGCAGAUGUACCAAAACCGAUGAAGAUCAUGAAGACUUCUUUUCCUAUUUGUUAGAUGAAGAUGAAGUGUAACUGAUGAUGUAGUAACUGAGAAUGUGAAAGACAAGUAGUUACUCACUGAUGAAUUGUACAUUUCAUUUCGUGAUCAACUGGAGGGAAUGUCAAAAGAGAAUAUUGUAUAAUGUGAUCAGCUAUAUGAAAUGUAUCUUUUUAUUUUAUCAUUAAGCACAUGUCUAUGUGACUUUUCACCUUUUGACAUGAACUCUUCUGUGAUAAACAACUUGCAGCUUCCUCUUUCUGGUUUGGAAGAUACAGACUUGGAAAAGGGGAACCUCAGCUCUGAGUUCUGAGAAUAACUCUGUUAUCUUUACACACACACACACACACACACACACACACACACACA